rnacentral:rRNA from 1 species
UAAGGAAUAUUGGUCAAUGGACGCAAGUCUGAACCAGCCAUGCCGCGUGAAGGAUGAAGGUCCUCUGGAUUGUAAACUUCUUUUAUCUGGGACGAAAACGGGAUUUUUAUCUCAAUUGACGGUACCAGAGGAAUAAGCACCGGCUAACUCCGUGCCAGCAGCCGCGGUAAUACGGAGGGUGCGAGCGUUAUCCGGAAUUAUUGGGUUUAAAGGGUGCGUAGGCGGACUAAUAAGUCAGUGGUGAAAGCCUGCAGCUUAACUGCAGAAUUGCCAUUGAUACUGUUAGUCUUGAGUACAGUUGAGGUAGGCGGAAUGUGUCAUGUAGCGGUGAAAUGCUUAGAUAUGACACAGAACACCGAUUGCGAAGGCAGCUUGCUAAGCUGUAACUGACGCUGAGGCACGAAAGCGUGGGGAGCAAACA